rnacentral:tRNA from 1 species
GGUAAAAUUAGUUUAAAGGUAAAAUGACGUUUUGUGGCGACGAUGUUCAGAGUUCGAUUCUCUGAUUUUACC